CAGUUGGGCACUCUAGCGAGACUGCCGGUAAUAAACCGGAGGAAGGUGGGAUGACGUCAAAUCAUCAUGCCCCUUACUGACCUGGGCUACACACGUGCUACAAUGGUUGGUACAACGAGUUGCGAGUCGGUGACGGCGAGCUAAUCUCUUAAAGCCAAUCUCAGUUCGGAUUGUAGGCUGCAACUCGCCUACCAUGAAGUCGGAAUCGCUAGUAAUCGCGGAUCAGCACGCCGCGGUGAAUACGUUCCCGGGCCUU
rnacentral:rRNA from 1 species